rnacentral:rRNA from 1 species
UAAGCAUAUCAAUAAGCGGAGGAAAAGAAACCAACAGGGAUUGCCCUAGUAACGGCGAGUGAAGCGGCAACAGCUCAAAUUUGAAAUCUGGCGCAAGCCCGAGUUGUAAUUUGUAGAGGAUGCUUCUGGGUAGCGACCGGUCUAAGUUCCUUGGAACAGGACGUCAUAGAGGGUGAGAAUCCCGUAUGUGACCGGCCCGCACCCUUUACGUAGCUCCUUCGACGAGUCGAGUUGUUUGGGAAUGCAGCUCUAAAUGGGAGGUAAAUUUCUUCUAAAGCUAAAUACCGGCCAGAGACCGAUAGCGCACAAGUAGAGUGAUCGAAAGAUGAAAAGUACUUUGGAAAGAGAGUUAAAAAGCACGUGAAAUUGUUGAAAGGGAAGCGCCUGCAAUCAGACUUCGCGGCAGUGUUCCGCCGGUCUUCUGACCGGUUCAUUCUCUGUCGCGAGGCCAUCAUCGUCUCGGCCCGCUGGAUAAGACCUUGGGAAUGUAGCUCACCUUCGGAGGAGUGUUAUAGCUCAUGGUGAUGCAGCGAGGCUGGGGCGAGGUCCGCGCUUCGGCAAGGAUGAUGGCGUAAUGGUUGUCGGCGGCCCGUCUUGAAACACGGACCAAGGAGUCUAACAUCUAUGCGAGUGUUCGGGUGUCAAACCCCUACGCGUAAUGAAAGUGAACGGAGGUGGGAACCGCAAGGUGCACCAUCGACCGAUCCUGAUGUCCUCGGAUGGAUUUGAGUAAGAGCAUAGCUGUUGGGACCCGAAAGAUGGUGAACUAUGCCUGAAUAGGGUGAAGCCAGAGGAAACUCUGGUGGAGGCUCGCAGCGGUUCUGACGUGCAAAUCGAUCGUCAAAUUUGGGUAUAGGGGCGAAAGACUAAUCGAACCAUCUAGUAGCUGGUUCCUGCCGAAGUU